rnacentral:rRNA from 1 species
GACGAACGCUGGCGGCGUGCUUAACACAUGCAAGUCGAACGGAAAGGCCCUGCUUUUGUGGGGUGCUCGAGUGGCGAACGGGUGAGUAACACGUGAGUAACCUGCCCUUGACUUUGGGAUAACUUCAGGAAACUGGGGCUAAUACCGGAUAGGAGCUCCUGCUGCAUGGUGGGGGUUGGAAAGUUUCGGCGGUUGGGGAUGGACUCGCGGCUUAUCAGCUUGUUGGUGGGGUAGUGGCUUACCAAGGCUUUGACGGGUAGCCGGCCUGAGAGGGUGACCGGCCACAUGGGGACUGAGAUACGGCCCAGACUCCUACGGGAGGCAGCAGUGGGGAAUAUUGCACAAUGGGCGGAAGCCUGAUGCAGCAACGCCGCGUGCGGGAGGACGGCCUUCGGGUGGUAAACCGCUUUCGCCUGUGACGAAGCGUGAGUGACGGUAAUGGGUAAAGAAGCACCGGCGAACUACGU